AUAUUUUCUUUUAUGCUCUACUUUUUGUGCCCUGUUUAAGAACUCUUUCCCUGCCUCAGGCCAUGAAAAUAAUCUUAUUUACUAUCUUUUAGAAUUGAGCUGUUGAUUACAGUAGCAACUAACCACAUGCGGUCAAUUUAAAGUUAAAAUAAUUGAAAUUAAAUGAAAUGAAAAAUUGUUUCCUUGUCAUUCUAGCCAUGUUUUUAGUGGCUCAGUAGCCAAAGGCAUAGAACAUUUCCAUCACUGCAGAAAGUUCUACUGGCCAAAUACGUUUUAGAAGGUCAUUUUGUCUUGUCUUUUGCUAUAACAGCAAUAAGAAUGUGGGUGGAAGGUUGUGGGAGGAAAUGUAAGAAUGUUAAUUUUCUCAUCUUUAGUAGGAAGGCAAUCAAUGUCUUCUAAAAUGAACACAAGCAGAAAAAGUGUCCUUAAUGACCUUUUAUCAUUUUAAAAAAUUAUGGAUUCCCUUAGCUUUGGAAGGAAUCUUUUAGAAUUAUUUCUGUUAUGAGAAAAUAUUGAUUUAAAGUUUAUUAAUUGUUUGGGUUUAGCUUGUCCCUUUUUAUUCUAAAUUCAGUACAAUUAAAUUAUAAUCGAGCAAGCUAAGAUGACCUCUGUAAAUGAAUGACAUCAGACCCCUGUUUUCCUUGCUUUGUUCUUGGCCUCCUUUCCUUUGUUUUUCUUUGUGCUAUUUCCUUCUUUUCUUCUCCCUCCUCUGAACCUUGACAAACCACAAAGCUUCCAAAAAUAGCUCUUGAAAGAACUGUUCUGACAGUAGCUUGAAUGGGAUUGUACCAAUGAUCCUGAGCUAGAAGCAUGAGAAACCAGAAUAUUCUCUACUUCCUGUAACCACGAAUUUGCAGCAGUUAGAGUUUUUUUUUGUUUUUUUUUUUUGUUUUUUUUUUAAAUGCAAUUCAGGCCAGAUCACAAGGAAACACAACCUUCUCUUCUUCUCCUGUAAAACUCCAAUCCUGCUUUGUUCGGGGGGAGUUACCUGGUUUUCAGGUUCUCUCUCAUAUGUGUCAACUAAUAAAUACUGUCCUUUAUUUGAAUCACUUAAACUAUUUGCUUACUUGAUUUCAUGUCUUGGGGUUUGAAAAAAAAAAUGUACUUGGGAAUAGAAUGCCUUGUUUUUGCCAGAACACAAAAAUGUCAUCAGGAAACCCCUACCUGUUGCUUAUAAAAGCAUGUAUAAAAGCUACAGCAAUCUCAUCAUCAAAACCCCUCAAAUCAGGUGCCACUUAAUAAAAUGUACUAAAAGAUAGCUGUAAAAUAAAAAAUUGUCAUUGACUGGAUAGUAUAUGCUUAUUUUUUAUUAAUUGUAAUGCAUUUGGGAUAGUUGAUACAGGUGGCAAAUGUAGUUUCUAUGAAGUAUAUCUUGAAUUUUUAUCUAUGUAGGCAGAAAUGGGUACAUUUUGGGAAUUGUGAGUAAACAAAAUAUUUCUGGGAGAAGAAAGGAUUUUAUUAAGAAUAGGAAGGACUGAGGGAACCUGGUGCUCAUACACAAUAGACACGUGGAGAAAGAAUUCCAGAGAGUGCAUCAAGAUGAUGGACCAAUCAGAGGACCCAAGGGGAAAGCAGACUGCACAUGCUAGAUUCACAUCUCAUGAAUUACAAAACCCUGGAUAAGGCUUCUCAUCAUAAGAAGAUGUGAACAAAACAUACUCAAAUUUCCAAAAAUGUUAAGAGACUCUAUCAAAAUUAUGAAUGAACUUGGGAAGAUAAUGGGUUUUGCACUGUAGCCCAGGUACAAAAAAGCCAGUUUUUUCUUUUGGCAGGGAAGGGCUGGGAAGGUUGUUAAAGAGAUGAGCUUGAAAAGUUCCAUUUGCAAGUGAGAGAUGAUUGUAAAGAGAAGGACCUGUGUGCUCUCAUCUAGGUUGGAAAGAGCUCAGACACAACCAGAUCUUGUGCCAUGACCAAAAAUCGGUUAUUUAUACUCCAAAAUCCAUCAUCUUACAUCUUUGUGAGAUUAUAUAUUCUUUUUGAGUGUGGUAAGAUUGCUAUAACCUGGGAGGUAUAAUAUAAACAUAAUAAAAAGUGAAGAAAUAAAUCAAUAUCAUAAUAUCACUUUUGUAUUAGGGUAAGAACUAUAAAAAUAAAUUUUGAAACCAUUAUAAUACCCUGUAAUGCCUGUUUCCAAGGUGACUUAAUCAGUUAAAAAUUUCUCAAAUUAAAUUUGAUUUUAUUGAAAAGUUUUGUAGAAUUUGAUUAAUUACAUUUAGAAUCAAGAUUUAAAUACUUAAGAGAAUUCACGCAAUGUGUACAUGUUUAUAUGUUGGUGAUGUUUAAGGGUUUAGAAACACUGUAACAAAUAGAUUUGUAGAUUUUAACAAACUGAAUGUUAAAUAGUGAAGCCAGAAGUAGAAGUAUGCUUCAUGUUCAGGUUUGAAAGGUUCAUAAACAAAAGCUGACGUUCAACACCGCAAAAUAUAUACUGAAGGGAUAACAUGAAGAAGUCUCCUUGUAGUGGUGGGACAAUCUGUAUCCGGAUUAUGCUGAUAGUUAUGUGGAUCCACAUACUUAAAAUUUCAUAGUGCUAUAAACUCCCAAAAUAAAUGAUUUAAGAUGAGAGUGUGUAAAACAUGAUGCAAUUCAAAUUCGGUCUGUACCUAAGUUAAUUUUACGAUAUAGACGUCAAUGUUCUGGUUUUGACACAUUCUAUGUAUUACGUAAGAUAUUAUCAUUGGAGGAAGCUGGGUGAUGGGUACGUGGAAAUUCUCCAUACUAUUUUCGAGAUUUAUUGAGAAUAUUAAGCUAUUUCAAACCAAAACUCUUUUUAAGAAUAUAUAUGUAGAUAUUAGUUAUUGUAAAAAGAAUAGGCAUAGGCCACCUUAGUGCUGCAGACAGGUGGGUCAGCAGAGCCUGUAUCAGCUUCCCACUGUCCCUUUGCCUCAACUGGAUGUUCUGCCUGUGAACUCAGGUAUUGGUAUGACAGGAGGUAGAUCUUGAUGAGUCUGCCAUGGCAGCUUAUUGUUUCUUAUUAUCAUUAAUAUUCUUGUAGGAUUAAAUGCAACAGGAAACAGCUAUGAGCCUCAGCACUACAAAAACAAUCAUACACAGUCUUUCUUCCCACUAGAUGAUGCCUCCCUGAAAAUUAAUCUUCAGGCAUCCCUUUAGAUCAUUUCUGCCCGCACAAAAGGUUUUUGGAUGUUAAAGAUGCCACUCUCCCAUUUAAAAACCACCUAGUUGGAGCUCCCGUCGUGGCUCAAUGGAAACGAAUCGGACUACCAUCCAUGAGGAUGCAGAUUCGACCCCUGGCCUUGCUCAGUGGGUUAAGGAUCUGGUGCUGCCGUGAGCUGUGGUCUAGGUCGAAGAUGCAACUCGGAUUUGAAGUUGCCGUGGUGUAGGCCAGUGGCUACAGCUCUGAUUCGACCCCUAGCCUGGGAACCAUAAGCUGUGGGAGCGGCCCUAAAAGACAAAAAAUAAAAUAAAACAAAACAAAAAAAC
rnacentral:lncRNA from 1 species